CCUACGGGAGGCAGCAGUGGGGAAUAUUGCACAAUGGGCGCAAGCCUGAUGCAGCAACGCCGCGUGAGGGACGACGGCCUUCGGGUUGUAAACCUCUUUUAGUAGGGAAGAAGCGAAAGUGACGGUACCUGCAGAAAAAGCACCGGCUAACUACGUGCCAGCAGCCGCGGUAAUACGUAGGGUGCAAGCGUUGUCCGGAAUUAUUGGGCGUAAAGAGCUCGUAGGCGGUUUGUCGCGUCUGCUGUGAAAACCUGAGGCUCAACCUCAGACCUGCAGUGGGUACGGGCAGACUAGAGUGCGGUAGGGGAGAUUGGAAUUCCUGGUGUAGCGGUGGAAUGCGCAGAUAUCAGGAGGAACACCGAUGGCGAAGGCAGAUCUCUGGGCCGUAACUGACGCUGAGGAGCGAAAGCAUGGGGAGCGAACAGGAUUAGAUACCCUGGUAGUCCAUGCCGUAAACGUUGGGAACUAGAUGUAGGGACCAUUCCACGGUUUCUGUGUCGCAGCUAACGCAUUAAGUUCCCCGCCUGGGGAGUACGGCCGCAAGGCUAAAACUUAAUGAAUUGACGG
rnacentral:rRNA from 1 species